GUAUUUUAUACCUAAAAUGUACCAAUAAACUUAAUGGGGGAAAAAAAUAAAAUAAGUACAGCCUGAAGUGCAAAGGGACACAGCCCACGACGACUGGCGCACGCGCGCCCUCUGCCGGCCAUGGAGUGUACCCCCGCGAUGGAAGUGCACCCCUUUGCUCUCAAAGUUUGGCAGAGCGAGUGACUUCCUGUCCUAGCGUCGCUUUUCAGCUAAGCAACGUUUGAUCAACGCUUUCCUAGGCUGGGCACAGCCUUAAAGAAUCACACAGUCUAAGGGGACACACCCACUGCAGAACCCUUAUAAUACCAUUUAAGAGGUGAAUCACUGGUGCUGCACCAUGUGACUCCAUUAGUUUGCAAUCAAAAGUUGCAAACAAGAGCCCAAAUCAAACAGCAUAACAGUGCUCUUUUGUUAGGAAAGGAAUGAUGUGACUCUCUGUAGAUUUUCUCUCUGCGCAGAAACAGGAGCAACCAGCUAGCUGAUGGUGCUACCUUGGAGACUCAGACCACCUAGGAGUAGUCCCAACCCCAAAGGCCAGCCCUUCAGGGAAGAAGCUGCAAGGGGCUGCAGAGAAAGGUCAGAGUCUCACAGGGAAAGGGCAGAAGUUAAGAACGCAGAUAAGAGGAUAUCAAUUCAUCUUGACAUUCAAUUAAGAAAAUUCUGCUGAUAACAUAUCCAUUAUACCAGCCAGAAGGAAAAAGUACUUGGAAGAGGAACCUGUUUUCCUAAGUUCUUUUCGAAAGAGACCUACAUGGGAAUAAGAAGGUGGCCUGGUGAACAAGGAAUCAGCACAGAGAAGGUCAAAGAAUGAAGCUGCAAUGGCAUAAACCAGGAGAGCUUAGGCAUCCCCAACUUAGAGAUCUAUUGAACCACCUUCGUUUCCCAUUGCAUCUACAUCAGAGCUACUAAGAAUACUGUAAGCCUUGGGCCUGGAGGUGGUGGUGCACACCUGUAACCCCACACUCCAGAGACUGAGGCAGGAAGGUCAUGAAGGCCACCCUGGGCUACAAAGCUAGUAUGAGGCCAGCCUGGGAUACAGAGAGACCUAUCUUAAAAAACAAACAACAAAAACAGAAAGAAAGAAUAAGCCAUGAAUGGAAGCCCCAUAGGAACAGGAAAAAACAAAAAACUGCAUCCCCAUAUUUGACUGGGCCUAGUUCAUAGUAAACCAAGAUAAAUAUUUGAAAAUGAUAAACUAGAAAUUCAAAACAGAAAAAGGGAUGAGGUGACUAGACUUAAGUAAAUAAAACCUCAAGAGAUUAAAUUCAGGAAAUUAGAUUAAGUUCAAAAGGCUCUUUAACACCUGGUAAGCAGAAUACAGGUCUAAUAGCAAUAUCCUCACCUACAUUUCCUGUCGCUCUAGGGCUCAUCACAAUUCUAGAUAUUUUUUCAAACAUUUUAUUAUGAAAAUUUACAAACAUAAAGCAAGGUUAAAAGAACUUUAUAGAGAACACCAUACACCUACCAUAGACUCUACCAUUCACAUUUAACUAUUCUUGGAUUAUCAUAUAUCCAUUAAUUUCUCUAUGUAUUCAUCAAUCCAUGUUAUUUUUUGAUGCAUUAAAAAUAUAGAUAUCAGUUGUUUCCUCUACAUAAUUCAGCAUGUAUAUUAUUAAAGAGAGCAAAAUAUUUGUUGAUUAUUUCUCCUUCUGAAGUAAUAUUUAUACAAAUGUACAGACCUUUUUUUUUUUCCAGUAAUGGAGUUUGAACCCAGGGCCUUCACACUGAGCUACAUCCCCAGCCCUUUUUUAUUUUGAGACAAGAUCUUGCGAAGUCACUAAAUUGCCCAGGCUGGAGUUGAACUUGCAAUCUUCCUAACUCAGCCUCCUAGCACCAUGGGAGGUAUGUACCACCAUGCUCAGCUACAAAUCUUAAAUGUAAAUUCCCAAAUUGUAAUACAUGCUCACACCUAUGUAUCCCAAAUCUCUCAAGAUAUAGCUCUCGACAUACAGAACAUUACUAUCACUUCAAAAACCUCCCCAUAAUUGUGUGUGUGUUAUAUGUUGCUGGGAUUUAACACAGCAUGCUUGCUAAGUGUUCUACCACUGAGCUACAUCUGCAGCCCUUAUUAUUUUUAUUUUGAGACAUGUUCUAGCUAAGCACCUUGGCUGCCCUCAAACUCAAGAUCCUCUACCUCAGCUUCCCAAGUCCUGGAAUAUCAUGUAUGCACCAACAUGUCCAGGUCCCCUCAUAAAUUUUUAGGAGUUUUUUUUUUUAUUUUAAAGGGAAGAAGAUAAUACAAAUGUUGAAAGUUUAAUGUGUUUCAAGUACUGCUUAAAAUAGCUGGGGAAAACUUAUAGGUGGUGUUAUGUUGGAGGUAAAUAGAACUCCAUGAGCAUCAUCUUAAUAACUCAAGUAAUUAGAUCCAAGAGAAUGAUUAUUUGCUGCUCUUAAAUUUCAGACACUCUCAAGUUAAGAAAAACACAAAUCUAAACAUACAGUUUUAGGGAAAUUUUUUCUUCUUUCAUGGACAUCCUCAUUGACCAGCGUAGAAGGAAAAGUGCUCUUUCACAUCCCUGUCAUCUACCUUUCAAUUCAGACUACAUGGGUCUAGCUGCUCAUGUUUGGUUGCUUUCUACAAUUUUUCUAGUACGUGUGUGUGUGUGUGUGUGUGUGUGUGUGUGUGUGUGUGUGUGUGUGUGUUGGUAAGGACUGACCCCAGAGCCUUACCUGUGCUGGGCACGCGCUCUACCAACUGCCAGCCUUAGGCAAUUUAAAUUCUUAAAAUCAAUAAGCCAAUAAGCUUUUCCUCCUCAAAUUAUGUUAGAAAUCAUUCAAAAAUGCUUUCAAAUUAUCUAUUAUAAGAUAAUAAGAUAAAA